AUCCUUUUGUAGUUCAUGAGUAUGAUGAUUGGGUGUUCACACGCUUGUGUGAGAUGUGCCACCCUUGAACCUUGUUACGACAUCCAUCGGCAUAUUACCCAUCUGACC